rnacentral:rRNA from 1 species
UACGUAGGGCGCAAGCGUUGUCCGGAAUUAUUGGGCGUAAAGAGCUCGUAGGCGGCUUGUCACGUCGGAUGUGAAAGCCCGAGGCUUAACUUGGGAAUUGCGCUCGAAACUACUUUGCUGGAGUGUGGCAGAGGAAGGUGGAAUUCCACGUGUAGCGGUGAAAUGCGUAGAUAUCUGGAGGAACACCGGUGGCGAAGGCGGCAUCCUGGACCAACACUGACACUGAGGAGCGAAAGCCAGGGGAGCAAACGGG